CGCCCCCAGACACACACACACACACCAUCCCCUCUGUCCAAUACGACCUUCUUCCUUCUCUUGCUUGUCGAUUAAUUCCAAGUACAGAAACGAUUGCUGACUUUUCAUCAGUGUGAAUCAUUUCCAUAAUAGUAGCAGAGCGGUCGAAGUGUGUUUGAAGUGGAUUGGUCGAAGUGUUCAUCACUGUUGAAGUGGAUUUCUAUUAAAAGGUAUGCAAUGGUUUCUUUCCUCCUGUUCUUUUACUAUCGACUUCCAACACUCCUUGUAGGUUCAUUUUGAAACUGCUUUUUUAAAAAUGUUAUUUUAAUACAUACCAAGUGUUUGAUGAAAUGACUGAAUGACUUUUUCUUUAUUCAAAUUUAAUGCCACAUUAGCUGUAUGGUUUGUUCAUAACGCUGUGUUUAGAAUUCAUAGAGUAUUAGAAACAAAGAAUAUUUAAAAGAGAUAAGUACCCAUCACCAAAUAUUUGUCAAUUCUGAGUUUCUGACCCAAAAAGUGUACACACCCAAUACAAUAUGAAAGUAGUUAUGGUUCCCGGGCAAUAACAGUUUCACUUGAACUAAAUUUGCAUGUUAUUAUUGUUAGUUAAUCUUCUGAUGAUGUCUUUUAAAAAAAAAAUUGUUCAACAUUAAAUAUCAUGUCUUUGAAAAAAAGUUUGAUGCCCAUCAAUGUGGAGAACCUUUGUGUUAGGUUGUUUGCAGUUACAAUUUUCAUAAAUUAAAUAAUUUGCAACAUUUUUCAUUAUCUAUAGAGAAUCCAUGAUACUACAGGUGCCAUUUUGGUUCUUGCAAUACACAUGGAAGAAUUAUUGAGAUGAAGAAGCUUUUUAUAUAACAUUAAUUGAUUCUAUGUAUAAAAAAGAAAUCAUAUUUGACCUCUGACAAAGAGAGUAAGCAGAGAGGAAAGGUACCCUGUUUGGGUUUCUAAUGAUACAUAUUCCAUUCCAUUUAAGAAACCAAUUGUGUGUAAACAAAUUUAAAUCACUAUAAAGCUGGAGGAUUGAAAAAGGGACAGGAACAACCUCCACAAUUAUCUAAAAUAUGUGACGUGUAAUCUGCAUAAUCCAUACUUGUGAAUUGAGAAAAAAAAAACAUUAUGAAUAUCGUUGUGGAGGUCCUCUUUUAUGUGACAUCAUAUUUAUUAUUAUACUCAUAGGUUAUGCCAUAUGAUGUUCAAAUGAAAUGAAGGAAAAUGAGACAUCAAAUAGUAAGAAGUUUCAAGUCCAAUCUUUCAAAGUGAACUGAAAUGAGUACUAAUAAUUAAGAGCAUGUAACUUUUAUUUGAAUUAAUGAGUCCAGUCUUUCAAGUCCUGGACUAAUACUAUAUUUUCGAGUCGUGAAGCUUCUAAACGGAUAUCAAUCUUCACUAAUUAUUAUUUAUUUAUUUUAUCUAUUACAUAAUGAUUUAAGAAAACAUAUGAGAAGUUUCAUAACAAAAAGGCAUUCAAAUAAAUACAUAUUAUCAGGAUGCAUAUAGGAAACAAGACAAAAGCAAAUAACAUUCAAAAUACACUAAUAUCAAGCCUUCAUCAACAGAUUUGAAACUUGGUGCAUUGUUGGUCUUUCUUUUGGAUUGGAGUUCAAACACGCUCUAGAGAGAUUGAGUACCAUAUUAACUUUUUUCUCAAUUUGUGGUGAAGGAAGUGGAAUUCGACUAUCUCCAACAUUUGCUAACACCAGAUAAUCAACAGACAAUGUUGGUAGUUCACCAGGAUGCUUUCCCAUUAUCACUUCUAGUGCCACGAUCCCAAAGCUAUACACAUCGCAUUUCUCCGUCACCACCAUCGUAUAAGCAAGCUCUACAUCCAAAAA